GCGAAAGACUAAUCGAACCAUCUAGUAGCUGGUUCCUUCCGAAGUUUCCCACAGGAUAGCUGGAAUUGCACAGUUUUACCAUGUAAAGCGAAUGAUUAGAGGAAUUGGGGACAUGAUGACCUUGACCUAUUCUCAAACUUUAAAUGGGUAAGCUGUAAUGGUUGCUUUGGUGAACUUUCGCAUAAAAUGGCAAUAUCAAGUGGGCCAUUUUUGGUAAGCAGAACUGGCGAUGCGGGAUGAACCGAACGCGAGGUUAAGGUGCCGGAAUUCACGCUCAUCA
rnacentral:rRNA from 1 species